GUUCUUGUGCAGAAGCAAUUUCAUAGUCUAUGAAGUUUUACUGAGACGUGAUUAUUGCUGAUUGAAAACUUUACCCAAUUCCUGCCUUGAUGACUUGAGAUACAGUCAGUUAUGGCAAUUUUUGUUAGUUUGGGGUGGUUGUAACUCAGA
rnacentral:snRNA from 1 species